GACGAACGCUGGCGGCGUGCUUAACACAUGCAAGUCGAACGGUAAGGCCCUUCGGGGUACACGAGUGGCGAACGGGUGAGUAACACGUGGGUGAUCUGCCCUGCACUUCGGGAUAAGCCUGGGAAACUGGGUCUAAUACCGGAUAGGACCCUGGGAUGCAUGUCCUGGGGUGGAAAGCUUUUGCGGUGUGGGAUGGGCCCGCGGCCUAUCAGCGUGUGGGUGGGGUGAUGGCCUACCAAGGCGACGACGGGUAGCCGGCCUGAGAGGGUGACCGGCGACGCUGGGACUGAGAUAGGGCCCAGACUCCUACGGGAGGCAGAAGUGGGGAAUAUUGCACAAUGGGCGCAAGCCUGAUGCAGCGACGCCGCGUGGGGGAUGACGGCCUUCGGGUUGUAAACCUCUCGCAGCAUCGACGAAGCGAAAGUGACGGUAGGUGCAGAAGAAGGACCGGCCAACUACGUGCCAGCCGCCGCCGUAA
rnacentral:rRNA from 1 species